rnacentral:rRNA from 1 species
UACGUAGGGGGCGAGCGUUAUCCGGAAUUACUGGGCGUAAAGCGCACGCAGGCGGUUCGCCAAGUUUGGAGUGACAGUUGUCGGCUCAACCGACAAAGGACUUCAAAAACUGGUGAACUUGAGGACGAGAGAGGAACAUGGAACUCCAGGUGUAGUAGUGAAAUGCGUAGAUAUCUGGAAGAACACCCAUGGCGAAGGCAAUGUUCUGGCUCGUUUCUGACGCUCAGGUGCGAAAGCCAGGGGAGCGAACGGG